GACGAACGCUGGCGGCGUGCCUAAUACAUGCAAGUCGAACGCUUCUUUCCUCCCGAGUGCUUGCACUCAAUUGGAAAGAGGAGUGGCGGACGGGUGAGUAACACGUGGGUAACCUACCCAUCAGAGGGGGAUAACACUUGGAAACAGGUGCUAAUACCGCAUAACAGUUUAUGCCGCAUGGCAUAAGAGUGAAAGGCGCUUUCGGGUGUCGCUGAUGGAUGGACCCGCGGUGCAUUAGCUAGUUAGUGAGGUAACGGCUCACCAAGGCCACGAUGCAUAGCCGACCUGAGAGGGUGAUCGGCCACACUGGGACUGAGACACGGCCCAGACUCCUACGGGAGGCAGCAGUAGGGAAUCUUCGGCAAUGGACGAAAGUCUGACCGAGCAACGCCGCGUGAGUGAAGAAGGUUUUCGGAUCGUAAAACUCUGUUGUUAGAGAAGAACAAGGACGUUAGUAACUGAACGUCCCCUGACGGUAUCUAACCAGAAAGCCACGGCUAACUACGUG
rnacentral:rRNA from 1 species